UGCCCAGCAGUUCCUAUCCCUACCUCCUCGUGGUACCGACCGGAAACUAUGAGCAACCUUAGGGAAGA
rfam:Aedes albopictus isolate Foshan contig84369, whole genome shotgun sequence.